rnacentral:rRNA from 1 species
AGGGUUUGAUCAUGGCUCAGAAUCAACGCUGGCGGCGUGCCUCAGACAUGCAAGUCGAACGCGAAAUUUCCCUUCGGGGAGAAAGUAGAGUGGCGCACGGGUGAGUAACACGUAGGUAAUCUACCUUUGGAUGGGGAAUAACCCAGAGAAAUCUGGGCUAAUACCGCAUAAUGCAGCGGCACCUAAUGGUGACAGUUGUUAAAGCGGGGGAUCGAAAGACCUCGCGUCUAAAGAGGAGCCUGCGGCGGAUUAGCUAGUUGGUAAGGUAAUGGCUUACCAAGGCUACGAUCCGUAACCGGCCUGAGAGGGCGGUCGGUCACACUGACACUGACAUACGGGUCAGACUCCUACGGGAGGCAGCAGUCGGGAAUUUUGGGCAAUGGACGAAAGCCUGACCCAGCAACGCCGCGUGAAGGAUGAAAUCCCUCGGGAUGUAAACUUCGCAAGAACGGGAAGAAUAAGUAGGGGACAAUACCCCCUAUGAUGACGGUACCGUUUGUAAGCUCCGGCUAACUCCGUGCCAGCAGCCGCGGUAAUACGGGGGGAGCAAGCGUUGUUCGGAUUUACUGGGCGUAAAGGGCGCGUAGGCGGUCAGCACAAGUCAGUUGUGAAAUCUCCGAGCUUAACUCGGAAAGGUCAACUGAUACUGUGCGACUAGAGUGCAGAAGGGGCAACUGGAAUUCUCGGUGUAGCGGUGAAAUGCGUAGAUAUCGAGAGGAACACCUGCGGCGAAGGCGGGUUGCUGGGCUGACACUGACGCUGAGGCGCGAAAGCUAGGGGAGCGAACGGGAUUAGAUACCCCGGUAGUCCUAGCCUUAAACGAUGAAUGCUUGGUGUCUGGGGUUAUAUAGUCCCCGGGUGCCGUCGCUAACGCUUUAAGCAUUCCGCCUGGGGAGUACGGUCGCAAGA